rnacentral:rRNA from 1 species
CCUACGGGUGGCAGCAGUAGGGAAUGUUGCGCAAUGGGCGAAAGCCUGACGCAGCAACGCCGCGUGAGAGAGACGCGCUUCGGGGGGUAAAGAUCUGUAAGGGGGGACGAAACGUGACGGUACCCACAGAGGAAGCACCGGCUAACGCCGGGCCAGCAGCCGCGGUAAUACGGGGGGUGCAAGCGUUGUCCGGAAUCAUUGGGCGGAAAGAGGUCGUAGGCGGCACGUAAAGUCGGGUGUUAAAGGCAGAGUCUCAACUUCUGUACGGCACUGGAUACUUGCGAGCUAGACUGCGGUAGAGGUAACGGGCAUUCCUGUUGUAGCGGUUAAAUGCUUAGCUAUCCGGCGGACCCUCGGUGGCGUACGCGCUUUACUGGGCCGUAAUUGACGCUGAGGAACGAAAGCCCGGGUAGCACAUCGGAUUCGAUACCCUUGUAGUC